rnacentral:lncRNA from 1 species
AGAACCAAUUCUUAUUUACAAUGAAGGGCCCCUCCUGGUUCAAACCCUAACCCGGACAACGCUGGGCCAAUUGUGCGCUGCCUAUGGGACUCCCCAAUAAAGGUCGGUUGUGAUACCGCCUGGAAUCGACACCAGGGUUUGUAGUGACGCCUCUAGCAGUGAAAUGCCUUAGACCGCAGCCACUCGGGGCCCGAAAUCAACUGGGCCACGUGCAGUUCAGUAAAUCAACUGGGCCACAUGCAGUUCAGUAAAUCAACUGGUCCACAUGCAGUUCAGUAAAUCAACUGGUCCACAUGCGCGUUCAGUAAAAUAACUGGGCCACGUACAGUUCAGUAAAUCAACUGGGCCACGUGAGGUUCCGUAGAUCAACUGGAACCACUUGAGGUUCCGUAGAUCAACUGGACCACGUGAGGGUUCCGUAGCGUAGAUCAACAGGACCACGUGAGGUUCAGUAGAUCAACUGGCCACGUACAGUUCAGUAACUAACUGGGCCACAUGAGGUUCAGUAGAUCAAACUGGGCCAUGUGCAGUUCAGUAAAUCAACUGGGCCACGUACAGUUCAGUAAAUCAAAUGGGCCACGUGAGAGGUUCAGUAGAUCACUGGGCCAUGUGCAUUCAGUCGUAAAUCAACUGGGCCACGUACAGUUCAGUAAAUCAACUGGGCCACGUGCAGUUUCAGUAAAUCAACUGGUCCACAUGCAGCUCAGUAAAUCAACUGGGCCACGUACAGUUCAGUAAAUCAAACUGGGCCACGUGAGGUUCAGUCGAUCAACUGGGCCACGUGAGUUUCCGUAGAUCAACUGGGCCACAUGCAGUCAUUCGUAAAUCAACUGGGCCACAUGCCAGUUCAGUAAAUCACUGGUCCACCAUGCAGUACGUCGAUCAACUGGGCCACGUGAGGGUUCAGUAGAUCAAAUGGACCACGUGAGGGUUUUCGCCGAUCAACAUGGGCCACGUGAGGUUCCGUAGAUCAACUGGACCACGUGCAGUUCAGUUAAUCAACUGGGCCACACGUGAGGUUCCGUAGAUCAACUGGACCACCUGAGGUUCCGUAGAUCAACUGGAUCACGUGAGGUUCCGUAGAUCAACUGGACCACGUGCAGUUCAGUAAAUCAACUGGGCCCCGUGAGGUUCCGUAGAUCAACUGGACCACUUGAGGGUUUCCGUAGAUCAACUGGACCACGUGAGGUUUCGUAGACAACUGGA